CCCCCCCCCCCCCCCAUCGAAUGAAAACUAGCACCAAGAGGUUUAGUGAACAGAUAUACAAGUUGAAGACGAGAGGGGACAUGAAUGGUUUGAAUAAAGCCCUUCUGUGAUUGAUCACACACCAUGUGAGAAUCAAUGUCUAGGUGCUUUAUGCGCUCCUGAAAAAUGAGAUUUGCAGUGAUGUGUUGUGUUGCUUUGUUGUCAUAGUGGAUAAAUAUGGGCAAUGAAGGAGAAAGGUGAAAUUCGCGUAAAAGGUAGCUAAUCCAUUGUAGUUCACAAACAGGAGAAGCCAUGUUGUGGUAUUCGGCUUUAGCGGAUGAUCGGCUUAUAGUCGUGUAUUUCUUUGCUUUCCACGAAAUUAGAGAAGGGCCAAGAAAAAUGCAAUGUCUAAUCAAGGAUUUUUGUGACAUUGGCAUGCAACCCAAUUUGCAUCAUGAAAUGCUGUCAAUUUAAGGUUAUUUUAAGUAGGGAAGAAAACCCCUUUGUCAGGGCAACUCUUUAAAUAACGAAGAAUAUGGAGAGCUGCCUGUCAGUGUGGUAAGUGGGGAUUUUGCAUAAAAUGGCUUAAUUUUGAGUGGAAUAAGUGAUGGCUGGGUGUGUUAAACUGAGGUAAAGUAAUCACCCAACAAGCCGGUGUAUCAAUCUAGGUCAGGAAAGAGAUUGCCCUUGUCAUUUGACAGCUAAAGUCUUUGGGAAAAGGAAAUAGCGUAGGGUUUGCUUCAAAAAACCCCACAUCAUGUAAGAUAUCCAAAACUUAUUUUCGUUGAUUCAAGUGCAUCCCCUCCUGAGAACGAGCAAUCUUAAUGCCCAAGAAGUGUUUGACAUAACCAAGGUCCUCGAUAGUGAAUUGUUUGUCCAAGUACCAUUUGACCAGGGUAAUAUUAGCUUUAAUGGCACCUACAAUCAAGAUAUCAUCAACAUACACAAUGAGUGCCAGAAAAUGAUUAUCAAUGCCUUUGGUGAAGAGACUGGUCAUGUGGUGAUUGAGAAAAACCAUAAAGCUGUUGAGCUUUGUCAUAGCUUUAGGGUGGAGGCAUGCAAAUGUCCUCAUCAAUGUGUUCGUGAAGAUAGGCAUUGUUUAUAUCCAGCUGGUGGACAGGCCACUGAAAAGCUGCAGCAAUUACAAAGAAAAGAUGCACAGUCACCAAUUUGGCUACUGGGGAAAAAAUGUAAUGGUUAUCCACUCUAGGGAGCCUAGUGAGAUACCAAGUGCUAUUCAAUUCAAAGGCAUUCAAUUCCGCAUGGCUUGCACCCAAUUGUUGUCCUCUUUAGCUUGCAGGUGUGUAAGGCAUAGAAGAUCAUGCAUCACCAUAGUUUUUAAGUGUCGAUGAUGAAGACAUCAUGGAGGACUUAAUUGAUGCACCUAUGUUCAAGGGGGCUAUCAUAAGAUCACGGGCCAAGGCAUUGCAAGCACUAGUGAAGGAACAUCAUUCGGCCAAGGACUCGCCAAGCCCUAAAGGAUGCGCCACUUGCUUAAUGACAUUGCACAUACGAGAAGAAGAAGGAACAAGCAUGGCCAAAUGCUUGGGAGACCCAUUGGAGCAUCGCUUAGGUGGCAUGCCAUGUGGCAAAUGAUCUGGCAACUAAGGAGGAUGUGGAAGCUUUUGUGGAAAGUGACGUGGCAUGUGGGACCUCUUCUUCUACAAGUUUACCAACCAUUAGAAGAUACAGCUUUGCCCAAUAUGCAAGAGCUAUUGGUGUUGGUUAUUGUCCACUUCUUUUACACUUUUGGUAAAAGCUAAUUAACCAAAUCAGACUACAAGACAAAGAACAUUUUUUGGAGAUUGUGAUUUGAUUUGGGAGGCUUCUUUUGCAAUUUUGGUAAAAGCUAAUUAACCAAAUCAGAUUACAAGACAAAGAACAUUUUUAGAAGAUU